UACAGAGCCACGAGCGUUAGGCGGAAUCACUGGGCUUAAAGCGUGUGUAGGUGGAUGGGUAAGUACCUUGUGAAAUCCCACGGCUCAACCGUGGAACUGCUUGGUAUACUGCCUGUCUUGAGGCACUCAGGGGCGAGCGGAACAAAUGGUGGAGCGGUGAAAUGCGUAGAUAUCAUUUGGAACGCCAAUGGUGAAGACAGCUCGCUGGGGGUGUACUGACACUGAGACACGAAAGCCAAGGGGAGCAAACCGGG
rnacentral:rRNA from 1 species